UCCACGCAGAAGAAAGGCCUCUCCCUCUCUCUUGCUCUGUCUCUAUCAUUCUCUCUCUCCGUUAGUCCCUUACUCUGUUUCUCUCGCUUUAUCUCUCCCCUCUGUCUCUCUCUUACUCACUGUUUCUCACACUCCCUCACUCUCUAUUCCUCUCACUCUCUCUCCCUAACAUUCUGUUUCUCUCACUCCAUCUCUCCUUUCUCUCUUUGCUGUCCCUCUCUUACGUUCUGUUUCUCUCUCUCACUCUGUCUCUCUCCCUAACAUUCCGAUUCUCUUACUUUCUCACUGUCUCUCCUUUCCCACUUUCCUUCUCUUUAACUCUGUCUCUCUCGCUCUGCCUCUGUCGCUGUCUCUCUCCCUUACAUUUGUUUCUUUCAAUUGCUCUCUUUUCUGUCUCCCUCCUUUCUCGUUCUGUCUUUUCCCUUUAAUUAUGUUUCUCUCACAUCUCCCCUUUCUCAUUCUCUGUAUUUUCCGUACUCUCUGUUUCUCUCACUCUCUCACUCUAUCCCUCACCCUCGCGAUCUGUCUCUCUCCCUUACAUUUGAUUUCUCUCGCUCCUCUUACUUUAUCUCCCCCGUCUCUUAUUUCAUCUAUGGUUCUCUCUCUCACUCAAUGUUUCUCCCCUCUCUGUCUUAUCUUUUAUUAGCACUUUCCCUAAUUCUCUUAUUUUAUCUGCAUCUUCCCCACUGCCCUAUCCCUUCAUUAUUGGCUCUAUAGCAUCCUUUAUUUCAUCCUCCCUUUCUUUCAGUCUAUUUUCUUCUCUCCCACUCCUCGUUCUCUCUCUCUCCAACAGAACACAGUGGCCUGCGUCAUCCUCUCAGUGUCAGGCAGAGGGAGACAGGGAGACAAGCAGGCUACAGGGUAUGAGACACUGGAGCAAUGCUGUGCAACAAGCAACAUGGAGAUGACAUUGAAUAAGAAGCUGAGAUCUCCUCCACCAAGACAACAGCUGAACCCGUGUGUUUCAUGCGCUUGUGUUUGUUCACUUGUGUUUUUUGUUAUAAUCAUUCCAAGACUAUGCAAUUGUGUGUUUACGUCUAAAUUCUGUCUAUGUCUGUAAGUUACGUCUGAAACAAUUUGUCUGAAACAAUGUCCCAACCCUGUUGGGGAUAUCUGUAGGGACCACCUCUGUUUCAAUGUGACACUUAGUCUGACCAACCCUGUUGCUGUCAUUGUUGGAUAAUAAUAAAUUAUCUCAGUGAGACUAACCUGGAUAAAUAAAGGUGAAAUAAAAAUAUACAUUUCAAA